GGUGAACCUGCGGAAGGAUCAUUACCGAUGUGAAAAAUCCAAGGUUAAACAUCAUUAACCAGUGUGAACUGUGAAACAACUCUUUAGGGGUCGGCACAGGCGUGUGUCGUUAAAUGGCGGAUAGGUUCCUUCCGCCAGCCCCGCCAUUGUGUUUAUUAUAUCACUUUGAACGUUUAAGACUGAGAACUAUGUAUCAUGCAUUAAAUGUAUGAGAAAGAAGGAAAGAAAAAUGAGAGACAACUUUUGACGGUGGAUCUCUUGGCUCACGUAUCGAUGAAGAACGCAGCCAGCUGCGAUAUGUAGUGUGAAUUGCAGAAUUCAGUGAAUCAUUGAAUCUUUGAACGCAAAUGGCGCUCUUGGGUUCUCCCAGGAGCAUGUCUGUCUGAGUGUCGGAUUUUAUCGAACGCACUCGUGUGUGCGGUAUUGAGGUGUCACGGCGUGUUAGCAAGCAAGCAUUAAAUCGCCGUGUCCCUUGAAGGACAGCAGCAUUGGACUCGCAUUCUCUAUUGAAACUUGAGUGCGAAGGCUAAAGAUAAUAUUUUCCUUCGCCCAAACAUGCAAUAGCAGAAACAAAAUCCAAUCAAAGCGGUGACAGACAAUAAACAUCAAAUCUUGACCUCAGAUCAGGCAAGGCUACCCGCUGA
rnacentral:sRNA from 1 species